rnacentral:rRNA from 1 species
AUUGAACGCUGGCGGCAGGCCUAACACAUGCCAGUCGAGCGGAUGAAGGGAGCUUGCUCCUGGAUUCAGCGGCGGACGGGUGAGUAAUGCCUAGGAAUCUGCCUGGUAGUGGGGGAUAACGUCCGGAAACGGGCGCUAAUACCGCAUACGUCCUGAGGGAGAAAGUGGGGGAUCUUCGGACCUCACACUAUCAGAUGAGCCUAGGUCGGAUUAGCUAGUUGGUGGGGUAAAGGCCUACCAAGGCGACGAUCCGUAACUGGUCUGAGAGGAUGAUCAGUCACACUGGAACUGAGACACGGUCCAGACUCCUACGGGAGGCAGCAGUGGGGAAUAUUGGACAAUGGGCGAAAGCCUGAUCCAGCCAUGCCGCGUGUGUGAAGAAGGUCUUCGGAUUGUAAAGCACUUUAAGUUGGGAGGAAGGGCAGUAAGUUAAUACCUUGCUGUUUUGACGUUACCAACAGAAUAAGCACCGGCUAACUUCGUG